UUACGGUUUUUAGACGUUGGACGUUUUAGAUAUAUAUUAUAUAUAAUAGAAAUUUAUAUAACCAUUUAGAAAACAAUUACGUGAGCUAAUUUCUAUAGAAAUUUUAAGUAAACAAUAGCGGAGGAGCAAGCGCUGUGCUAAAGUCCAGAAGCUUCUACGCAGUGAUGCAGCAUCCAUUCAAGAUGAUCGGAGCUUCGUUAAUUGUAAGCCCGUCAACCUCACUUCCGGCCUACGCUACGCUUGUGCUUGCAAUUGCGCUUCGGUUUUUUUAACAGCAUAAUUAUGACAGCAUAUUAUUUUUCUCACACAAAUCGGUGACUUCUUAAAAAGUGAUACAUUAUUUCUCUAUUGGUUUAUUUUUACACAUGAUUUUUCCAAAUCCAUACCUUUCUAGAACUUUCUAGAACGUCCACUAAUACGUUAUUUUAUUAAGUAUGUCUUUACAAAUAGUCGGUAUAAAAAUUUUUAAAAACUAUUCUCAAAUUUUUUUUUUAAUAAUUCGAUUAUAUUUAAUAUUCAUAAUUUUAUUUAUCAAUAUUUGAAUAAAAAAUAUAUAAAACCUUCUAAAUACUUGUAGGUAUAUAAACAUAUAUAAACAUAAUUCCUUUAAAAUUUUUAGCGAAUUUCAAGAAACAGUCACAACUAACGCGAACACACUAAAUUGUAUUCUAUAAAAUAUUACAUUUUUAACAUUAAUAUAGGUAUAAAUUAAACUGCAGAUGAAUUAAAUUGUAGGGAGGGGAAGUAAUAUAUUACUAAACAAAAACCGAUACCUACACGAAAAGUACCGAAAAAUAUAUUAAA